GGGGAGCGGCACACGAAAAUCGGGGAACUCACGGCUGAUGUGGAGGUCUUCAGUAAAAAGAUUCAGCAGCACGAGGCCGAGCUGG